ACCGGUUCAGACUGGUGUAUUCCAUCUCGGUUUAGUUUUCAGGCCGUAGCGCCGCGUAAAAUUCGGACUGCGAACACGCCCUCCUCCGCAGCGGAUUGGCUGGUGAGGGAGCGUCUCGCGCAUCUCUUGUAUGCGAUUGGACGGCGGCGCUGUCGGUCAGCGUUAAGUCCUCCCAUAGCGUCGUUUGCCCUUGGUUUCAUGUAUGAGGCGGGUUUUUCAUCGCAGCGUGAUGUGGGUUGGACCGCGCGUGGAGUGUGGAAAAUUACUGAGACUUUGCCUGCGAUGUACAAACAGUAACUGACCGUGCUCAUCAUCAAAUGAGUGGUCUGUAUCAUCCCCAUUUUCCUCAUCACUGUCAUGAUAUUCGUUUGGUUUUUCAUCUUUGUCCAAGUGGUCCUCCUCCACUUCAUGGUCAUACUCCUCAUAAUCAUCAGGGUGGACAUCAGAAAUGUUUUGUUCAAAACACGGGAAGCAGUGUGUUAGCAAAGGAGAGAUGAUGAAUUUGAGUCAUCCAGUCAGGUCUCAGAUAUCAGAGGAAAAAGUCUCAGGAAAACCUGUCAAGUCUACAGAAUUGCAUUAUUGAUGAGAAAAUCAACAGAUAUAUGUGUAAUUUAUAUUUACUGCAUUAACUACUGACUAAGUAAAUGAAAGACUAAGUCUUGA